rnacentral:lncRNA from 1 species
UGGAUGCUAUUGUGUUAAGGUAUGAGAAAGGGGUAUUCUAUUUAUAGAGUUCUAAAAUCUUUCCUCCAAGAAAGAGGUUAGCCAAAUAUGGAAAAGAAUUAUAUUUUUUCUUUCAGGAAAAGUAAAAGUAAUUAUGGUAACUUUUAUUUUCCUUCUAAGAAAAAAUAAAACUUAAAUAUAGUAAGAAAAUCAGGGCAAAAAUCCUAACAAAUCUCCCUUUUUUGGCUUGAUUUUCUUCACUUGAUCCUUCUUCUCUUCAUAUCACGUGCAUGAACUUCGUUCUUGAUAUAAUCUUCAUAACUGCUGUUUGUCAUGGUUAAAAAUAAGGUUUAAAACAUCAUGGUUAAAAAUUAGUUUAAAAGUAAUAUUUUAUUUUUAUUUUUAAAGAUGCAGCAGCAAGAGUGUUGAAAAUAUGGUUGAAACUUGUUCUCCACAUGUAGUUUGACAAAAAUCUUCAUUAUCAUCCAAAUUGUUGCAACUUGAUUUUAAAAUCGCUUUGAACCUGUUUAAUCUAGUCUCACCACACCAUUGAACCAUUGAACCGUAAGCUCUGAUACCACUUGUUGGGUUCGAAAUCGAGAGGGCGUCAUGCGAAAGCUAUUAGUUGCAAACCAUUGUGGUGAUAAUUCAGAUGACAAAGAAAACUAAACUAAAAACAUAAUAUUAUUGAUAUGUUUUGGUCAAGAGACCUACAUAUUUAAAAUCUAAUAUCGAAAAAACAUUAAAAACUAUUGGGAGAAAAUCUCCCCCUAAACGAAACUCUUAAAAGACUACAUUGUGGAUG